rnacentral:sRNA from 1 species
GUCGACGCCCCAUUGGGGUCGGCGCAGUCACGGAGCGCCCGAGCUUCUUGGCGCUCCUUGUAUCUAUGUUGCUCUUAGGAGGAUGUAGCUAUGAGAA